GUUACAAAGGUGAAACUAUUAUGUAACAAUAUAAACCGUGUGGGAUUCGUAAAUGGCUUAGGUAAUUACAAAGGAAAAAAUAUGCAAAAUAGGAAAAGUUAUUAAAAUAAGAAAAAAAAUAUUACAAAAUACAUUUUUGAAUUUGUUAGAUUGAUAUGACACAUACAGUUCACGUUCACGUUUAUUGCCUAAUAACUGAACGUGUUCAUUUAAAAAAAAAUUAACACGUUCAUUACAUGUUCCCAGAAAAUUCUUAGAUAUCAAAUAUCAGUGCCUGUUUCAUUAGUUGAAUUCAUUUUAAGACUAAUAACUUAUUUGACCAAUUAUUUUUUUAAUUUUUA